rnacentral:misc_RNA from 2 species
AGAGAGUAAUUCUUCUCUAAUUUAUUGAUAGUGGGGUGUGGAAAUCACUUAUGUAGUAACACUGCCGACCUAGUAUAAACGGUAUUAUCAAGCCGUAACUGGUGGAAGAUGUAGGUUCGAAUCCUACGGUCGGUAAGAACUGGAUAACUGGUGCUUUUAACGUAAAAGCUUCCGAGGUUAGUUGCGCACUGCCUAAACCACGCGGUAGUUGGUUCCAGACUAACCAACCAGUCUGCUGAAUAGUUUUAUUACGAUUUAACUAUGUCCAGGCUAAAGAAGAACUUUAGAAGGUAUUCUAGGUAGUGAAGUUUUUCCUCCAUAUCGGAGUAGUUUUUCAAGCUACCAACAAAGUGGGAAAGGAUCACGUGAAAGUCGUGACUAAUGGUGCACAACAUACAGGUAAACGCGCGAUAACUCCUGUUGAGGGCAGCAAAAGGUAGGGAGUCAUGACCCUAACCUAACCGAGCACUCGUAUAUGCAGUGUAUAACCACUAAGUCACCUUGACUUAAACUGGAAUACUUACUUUAUAAGACUUAUGAGUAAUCUGCCAGAUGGCGACCUUAUAUGCAUAAGUAAGUAUAGUCACCUUGACAUAAACUGGAAAAUAAUAGACGUUACUGUAUUUUGUCUUGAAAUACUUAAUGAGUGAGACUUAUGACUCUCCCGGUAUCGUCUGUAUUUUUAAGAGUUUUUACGAGAGUUCUUAAAAAUACUUAAA